GACACUAUAGCCAAGUGGUUACGGCGACAGAUUCGAAUUUCCGACUAUCUGUUCCUCUUUGAGGGCGCAGGUUCAAAUCCUGCUGGUGUCG
rnacentral:tRNA from 1 species